rnacentral:rRNA from 1 species
UCAAGCAUUAAGAGCGCAGGGUGGAUGCCUUGGCACUGAGAGCCGAUGAAGGACGUGAUAAGCUGCGAAAAGCUUCGGGGAGGAGCAAAUAUCCAUUGAUCCGGAGAUAUCCGAAUGGGGAAACCCACUUGAGCAAACCUCAAGUAUCCAUACGCCAAUCCAUAACGUAUGGAAGGGAACCGGGGGAACUGAAACAUCUAAGUACCCCGAGGAGAAGAAAGAAACCUCGAUUUCCAAAGUAGCGGCGAGCGAAAUGGAAAGAGCCCAAACCGUGGUGCGUGCACCGCGGGGUUGUGGACUGCAUAAGGUACUCGAAUCAAUAGCCGAACAGUUUUGGGAAAUCUGAUCAGAGAGGGUGAAAAUCCCGUAGGCGAAAUUGAUGAGAGGCUGGCAGGAUCCAGAGUACCACGAGACACGGGAAACCUUGUGGGAAGCAGGAGGGACCACCCUCCAAGGCUAAAUACUCCUCAGUGACCGAUAGCGCAUAGUACUGUGAAGGAAAGGUGAAAAGGACCCCGGGAGGGGAGUGAAAGAGAACCUGAAACCCUGUGUUUACAAGCUGUGGGACAUCUUUACAUGAUGAACCGCGUACUUUUUGUAGAACGGUCCGGCGAGUUGCGGAUGCCGGCAAGGUUAAGCACUUAAGGUGUGGAGCCGAAGGGAAACCAAGUCUGAAGAGGGCGCAUAUAGUCAGUAUCCGCAGACCCGAAACCGGGUGAUCUACCCAUGUCCAGGUUGAAGUUGCCGUAAAAGGCAAUGGAGGACCGAACGCACAUCCGUUGAAAAGGGUGGCGAUGAGGUGUGGGUAGGGGAGAAAUUCCAAUCGAACCCGGAGAUAGCUGGUUCUCCUCGAAAUAGCUUUAGGGCUAGCCUCGAUGGAGUCUUACGGAGGUAGAGCACUGAAUUUCUAAGGGGGCGUCAAAGCUUACCAAGGGAUAUCAAACUCCGAAUGCCGUAAAGAUGCUCAUCGGGAGUCAGACUGCACGAGAUAAGUUGGGCAGUCAAAAGGGAAAGAGCCCAGACCUGCUGCUAAGGUCCCAAAGUACGUGUUAAGUGGAAAAGGAUGUGGGAUUUCGAAGACAACUAGGAUGUUGGCUCAGAAGCAGCCACACAUUCAAAGAGUGCGUAAUAGCUCACUAGUCGAGAGGUCCUGCGCCGAAAAUGUCCGGGGCUGAAACACGACACCGAAGCACAGGAUACCGUAUGGUAUGGUAGAGGAGCAUUGCUGGCGCGAUGAAGCAGUACCGGAAGGAGCUGUGGAGUGCCAGGAAGAGAGAAUGCCGGAAUGAGUAGCGAGAGAGAGGUGGGAAUCCUCUCGGCCGAAUAUCCAAGGUUUCCAGGGUAAAGCUGAUCUGCCCUGGGUAAGUCGGGGCCUAAGGAGAGGCAGAAAUGCGUAUCCGAUGGACAGCAGGUUGAGAUUCCUGCACUAUCUUAAAACAGAACUGUGGGGACAUUUGUGGAAAGCACAGGCGCGGAACGGAAAGCCGCGUGCAAGCGAAGGAGGAGUCACAUAGGAAAAACCGUGUGGCAAUCCAAAGGCGUGAUGCGGACCGAACUAAAGUAGGGAAGUGUGUGAGCCAUGAAUCAAGAAAAGCCGCUAUUGUUUUUAAGAUACCCGUACCGUAAACCGACACAGGUGGAUGAGGAGAGAAUCCUAAGGCCGGCGGAAGAAGCAUUGUUAAGGAACUCGGCAAAAUGACCCCGUAACUUCGGGAGAAGGGGUGCCAACGAGAGUUGGCCGCAGAGAAUAGGCUCAAGCAACUGUUUAGCAAAAACACAGGUCUAUGCAAAACCGUAAGGUGAGGUAUAUGGGCUGACGCCUGCCCGGUGCUGGAAGGUUAAGAGGAGGGGUUAGCGCAAGCGAAGCUCUGAAUUGAAGCCCCAGUAAACGGCGGCCGUAACUAUAACGGUCCUAAGGUAGCGAAAUUCCUUGUCGGG